UACGUAGGGGUCGAGCGUUGUCCGGAGUUACUGGGCGUAAAGCGCACGUAGGCGGAUUUGUAAGUCAGGGGUGAAAUCCCGGGGCUCAACCUCGGAACUGCCUUUGAUACUGCAAGUCUCGAGUCCGAUAGAGGUGAGUGGAAUUCCUAGUGUAGAGGUGAAAUUCGUAGAUAUUAGGAAGAACACCAGUGGCGAAGGCGGCUCACUGGAUCGGUACUGACGCUGAGGUGCGAAAGCGUGGGGAGCAAACAGG
rnacentral:rRNA from 1 species